GACGAACGCUGGCGGCGUGCUUAACACAUGCAAGUCGAGCGGUAAGGCCCUUUCGGGGGUACACGAGCGGCGAACGGGUGAGUAACACGUGGGUGACCUGCCCUUAGCUCUGGGAUAAGCCUGGGAAACUGGGUCUAAUACCGGAUAUGACUCCAUGACGCAUGUUGUGGGGUGGAAAGCCUUGUGCGGCUAGGGAUGGGCCCGCGGCCUAUCAGCUUGUUGGUGGGGUGAUGGCCUACCAAGGCGACGACGGGUAGCCGGCCUGAGAGGGCGACCGGCCACACUGGGACUGAGACACGGCCCAGACUCCUACGGGAGGCAGCAGUGGGGAAUCUUGCGCAAUGGGCGAAAGCCUGAUGCAGCGACGCCGCGUGAGGGAUGACGGCCUCGGUUGUAA
rnacentral:rRNA from 1 species